rnacentral:lncRNA from 1 species
CUAUUUUGAGGUUUUAAUGCCAAAUUUAAAGCAAUAUUUAUAUAAAAACCCAAUCUCAGAGGUAGAGGUUCUUUUUGAAGCUAUUACUUUGCUUUUGAGGAAAAAAGGCUAUACUUGCUAAAAUCUCCUUGUUUGAAGGAUAACGUAAUCAGAAUCCAAAGGUAAGCUCAGUUAAAAACCAAGACUAAAAUUAUUUUGAGUAUGGAUAGUCUCAUAUUUUAUAGUACUAUUUUUGUGAUAAUGGAAACUAACAGGUGUCUCUAAGCCUAUAGCCCGGCUCUGUGCUC